UGGUGGAGUAAUUUCUCCAGUUGAUUCUGUUAACCAACAAGACUGCUGCUGGCUGAAUAGGUUGGUUAGUGAAUUUCACUGAUAUACUAUUCUUGGAGGAGCAUGCAUUCUAUUAGAUGCAGGAAGAUAGCAACAAUAACA
rnacentral:rRNA from 1 species